CUCUGUGACUCCUACGGGAGGCAGCAGUGGGGAAUAUUGCACAAUGGGGGAAACCCUGAUGCAGCCAUGCCGCGUGUGUGAAGAAGGCCUUCGGGUUGUAAAGCACUUUCAGUAGGGAGGAAGGUAGUGUAGUUAACACCUGCACUAUUUGACGUUACCUACAGAAGAAGCACCGGCUAACUCCGUGCCAGCAGCCGCGGUAAUACGGAGGGUGCGAGCGUUAAUCGGAAUUACUGGGCGUAAAGCGCAUGCAGGCGGCCUGUUAAGUCAGAUGUGAAAGCCCCGGGCUUAACCUCGGAAUUGCAUUUGAAACUGGCAGGCUAGAGUCUUGUAGAGGGGGUAGAAUUUCAGGUGUAGCGGUGAAAUGCGUAGAGAUCUGAAGGAAUACCAGUGGCGAAGGCGGCCCCCUGGACAAAGACUGACGCUCAGAUGCGAAAGCGUGGGGAGCAAACAGGAUUAGAUACCCUGGUAG
rnacentral:rRNA from 1 species